GAUGAACGCUGGCGGUAUGCCUAACACAUGCAAGUCGUACGAGAGUUUUUAACUCAAGUGGCGGACGGGUGAGUAACACGUGAGAAUUUGCCUUUAGGAGGGGGAUAACAGAGUGAAAACGCUGCUAAUACCCCAUAUGCUUUCGAGUGAAAUGGAUUUAUUCGCCUAAAGAGAAGCUCGCGGCUGAUUAGCUUGUUGGUAAGGUAAUGGCUUACCAAGGCGACGAUCAGUAUCUGGUUUGAGAGGACGAUCAGACACACUGGAACUGAGACACGGUCCAGACUCCUACGGGAGGCAGCAGUGGGGAAUUUUCCGCAAUGGGCGAAAGCCUGACGGAGCAAUACCGCGUGAGGGAAGACGGCCUAUGGGUUGUAAACCUCUUUUCUCAGGGAGGAGCUCAAUGACGUUACCUGAGGAAUAAGCAUCGGCUAACUCCGUGCCAGCAGCCGCGGUAAGACGGAGGAUGCAAGUGUUAUCCGGAAUCACUGGGCGUAAAGCGUCUGUAGGUGGCUUAACAAGUCAACUGUUAAAUCUUGAAGCUCAACUUCGAAAUCGCAGUCGAAACUGUUAGGCUAGAGUAUAGUAGGGGUAAAGGGAAUUUCCAGUGGAGCGGUGAAAUGCGUAGAGAUUGGAAAGAACACCGAUGGCGAAGGCACUUUACUGGGCUAUUACUGACACUCAGAGACGAAAGCUAGGGUAGCAAAUGGGAUUAGAUACCCCAGUAGUCCUAGCCGUAAACAAUGGAUACUAGAUGUUGGGCAGAUCGACCUGUUCAGUAUUAAAGCUAACGCGUUAAGUAUCCCGCCUGGGAAGUAUGCGCGCAAGCGUGAAACUCAAAGGAAUUGACGG
rnacentral:rRNA from 1 species